rnacentral:scRNA from 1 species
CCGCUCCAGUUCGGCAACGUGGACCAGAUCCG